GUGGGGAAUAUUGCACAAUGGGGGAAACCCUGAUGCAGCGACGCCGCGUGAGUGAAGAAGUAUUUCGGUAUGUAAAGCUCUAUCAGCAGGGAAGAAAAUGACGGUACCUGACCAAGAAGCCCCGGCUAACUACGUGCCAGCAGCCGCGGUAAUACGUAGGGGGCAAGCGUUAUCCGGAUUUACUGGGUGUAAAGGGAGCGUAGACGGCAGGGCAAGUCUGAAGUGAAAGGCAGGGGCCCAACCCCUGGACUGCUUUGGAAACUGCCAGGCUGGAGUGCAGGAGAGGUAAGUGGAAUUCCUAGUGUAGCGGUGAAAUGCGUAGAUAUUAGGAGGAACACCAGUGGCGAAGGCGGCUUACUGGACUGUAACUGACGUUGAGGCUCGAAAGCGUGGGGAGCAAACAGG
rnacentral:rRNA from 1 species